rnacentral:lncRNA from 1 species
CCACCGUCCCAUACUUGUCCACCUCGGGCAUGUUCAUGUCGUCGAUGAAGUAGACGAGCUUCUUAGUGCCUGGCGGCCCGUAGUUCCUCCCCGAUUUCUUCUCCAGCGGCUUCUCCAGCACCCCUAGAGAGGGCAGAGGGUCAGCUGCCCGCCUGCGCCUCCUGAGCCAGAGCCUGUUAGGUAGGGAGGGGCGCUACCUGCUUCCCCGGAGGACAGAAGGUGGGACCUGGCUGGGAUCCAAGUUUACCAAAGCCCUACCCUCCAGCACUCCAAGGCAGGACUCGCCUCACUUCUGGCGCCUCCUGCUGCCUCCUCCAUACCUCAUUGCCAUCUGGCUCUGCCCUCAACACGCCCUGAAGCUGUUCUCCCUGAGUGAUGGAGAUGCGCCUAGCUCCCAAAUGCAAUGGGAACUCUUCUGUCCUUGGCUUGACUCUGGGUGCCAUCCUACUGAGGAAAUCCCUUACUCUGUCAAUCACCAGCCACGUGUCCAAGCCCGAAAAUAUGCCUCUGGAAUCAAUAUCAAGUCUUCCAUUUCUCCAGAUUUCAGAUAUUUCUUAAACCCAUCCCUUCCUCUCUGAUCCCUAGAGGCCCCCAUCUUGCUGGCAUGACCAGCUGCUUUUCCCUCGUCACAUUGGAAAGGGACACUUGCACCUUGGCCCAGCAUCAGCGCCUUCCCGUCAGGAGCAGCCUCCGCCUUUAUGCUCUGGCCAGGAGAACCCGACCACUGCCCAUCCGGCAAUGCCCCACUCCCCACCAUGCCCUGUGAACGCGGGUUCUUGUCUGGUGUGCUUCUCUGUUUUCACCCCUUAGAGGCAGCCUGACCCUUUGGAUGGCAGCCCAAACUUCAAUCACCUGGGAAGACUUCCCACCUCCACAGAGGCCAAGACCUCCCUUCCCACACCAGCCCUUGUUCCCUGGCACUUUGUGCAAACAUCCGUUUGCUCAGCUGCCCUGCCUCGUGUCACUGUGAAUUUACACCAUUUAUUCCCAGGUCUCUCACCCCUUCACUGCUGUGACACUGGUGCCUGGUGAGGGCCUGAUACACAGUUUGUGACAUGAAUGAUGAAUGAAUAUGCAACUCUGAAACAGGCCAACAAGUUCGUUUUUCCCUGCCGAGGUUUGGAACAGGAAAGCCAA